rnacentral:misc_RNA from 1 species
GCAAACUUGGUCAUUUAGAGGAAGUAAAAGUCGUAACAAGGUUUCCGUAGGUGAACCUGCGGAAGGAUCAUUAGUGAAAUAUCAAAUAAACAAAUAGGGAUUGGAGGGAUUGUUGCUGGCAUAUCUGCAUGUGCACAUCUGUCCUCCCUUAACUCAUUUCCUUAACUCCUUAAAACGAGCUAUGGAAAUUUUUUAACAUAUAUACACACUUUAUUGCAAUGGGGUUUAUUAUAUGAAAAUAUAAAUAUUACAACUUUCAGCAACGGAUCUCUUGGCUCUCGCAUCGAUGAAGAACGCAGC